rnacentral:rRNA from 1 species
GUAGGGAAUAUUGGGCAAUGGAAGGAAUUCUGACCCAGCCAUGCCGCGUGCAGUAAUACAGUCCUAUGGACUUUAAACUGCUUUUAUUAUAGAGUAACCUGGGGGACGUGUCCCCCACUGCAAGUAUAUAAUGAAUAAGAUUCGGCUAACUCCGUGCCAGCAGCCGCGCUAAUACGGGGGAUGCAAGCGUUAUCCGGAUUUAUUGGGUUUAAAGGGUGCGCAGGCUGAUCGGUAAGUCAUGGGUGAAAAGUCACUGCUUAACAGUGGUCGUGCCUAUGAUACUGCCGGACUAGAGUUUAAGAGGUGUAACUGGAAGGUGAUGUGUAGCGGUGAAAUGCUUAGAUAUGUCACAGAACGCCAAUCGUGAAUACAGGUUACAAACGUAAUGCUGACGCUCAUGCACGAAAGCGUGGGGAUCAAACAGGAUUAGAAACCCCUGUAGUCC